GAUGGACCCGCGGUGCAUUAGCUAGUUGGUGAGGUAACGGCUCACCAAGGCAACGAUGCAUAGCCGACCUGAGAGGGUGAUCGGCCACACUGGGACUGAGACACGGCCCAGACUCCUACGGGAGGCAGCAGUAGGGAAUCUUCGGCAAUGGACGAAAGUCUGACCGAGCAACGCCGCGUGAGUGAAGAAGGUUUUCGGAUCGUAAAACUCUGUUGUUAGAGAAGAACAAGGAUGAGAGUAAAACGUUCAUCCCUUGACGGUAUCUAACCAGAAAGCCACGGCUAACUACGUGCCAGCAGCCGCGGUAAUACGUAGGUGGCAAGCGUUGUCCGGAUUUAUUGGGCGUAAAGCGAGCGCAGGCGGUUUCUUAAGUCUGAUGUGAAAGCCCCCGGCUCAACCGGGGAGGGUCAUUGGAAACUGGGAGACUUGAGUGCAGAAGAGGAGAGUGGAAUUCCAUGUGUAGCGGCGAAAUGCGUAGAUAUAUGGAGGAACACCAGUGGCGAAGGCGGCUCUCUGGUCUGUAACUGACGCUGAGGCUCGAAAGCGUGGGGAGCGAACAGGAUUAGAUACCCUGGUAGUCCACGCU
rnacentral:rRNA from 1 species